CUAAGAUUGUGGCCUUAUUCGGAAACAGGGUCUUUGCAGAUGUCAUCCAGUUAGGUUGAGGUGGGACUGGAGUAGGGGGGCCCUCAUCCAAAGACUGAAAGACUGGGGUCCUGGGAAGAGGGAAAUUCUGACUCAGGAGGAGCCAUCCAUGUGAGGACAGAGGCAGAGACAGGAGGGAGGCGGCCACCAGCCCAGGAGGGCCAACAACCGCAGGAGCUGGAGGAGGAGGCAGGAGGGACCCUCCCCUGGAGCCUCUGGAGGGAGCGCCGCCUGGAUCUCCGACUUCUGGCCUCUGCAAGUGGGAGAAUAGAUUACUGUUGUCUGAAGCCUCUGAGUUCAUGGUCGUUUGUUACUGUGGUCCCAGGAGACUAACCCAAGGGUUGUAGAGGGGGCUCGGCUCGUCCCCACAGCGAGCGGGGCAGGCGCUGCUCGGCUCUCCGGGGGCUGGAAGACUCCAUGUUCUGCGACCACUAGCCCACAGCGCCCCACCCAUCCCGCCUCGGGCCACAGAGAGGGCUCCAACUGGGCCGACGUGAUUGAGGCCAGAACUCCAGGCUUUCCAGAAACACAGAGAAGGAACGUGGCAGCCGGCUGCGCUCAUGCUACUAGCUAUGUCCAGCGGACGCAAGCAGGACAGCCACCCAGAGUCGUUCAAACGUGGAAACCAAACGAGGGUGUUGGGGUUCCAUGUGAUUCAGGUUAACAGUGAGGAUGGCACGAUUUCCCUGCUCGUCUGAGCCUGUGCCUCCCCCGGUGCCGCUUCCUUAGGGAGCCGGGCAGUUGGAG